GACGAACCGUCCUAACGUUGUUCGGAAUCACUGGGCUUAAAGGGCGCGUAGGCGGGCCAUCAAGUCUGGGGUGAAAUCUUUCGGCUUAACCGGAAAAUAGCCUCGGAUACUGGUGGUCUGGAGGGUGGUAGGGGCAUGUGGAACUUCCGGUGGAGCGGUGAAAUGCGUUGAUAUCGGAAGGAACGCCGGUGGCGAAAGCGACGUGCUGGACCACUACUGACGCUGAGGCGCGAAAGCCAGGGGAGCAAACGGG
rnacentral:rRNA from 2 species